GACGAACGCUGGCGGCGUGCUUAACACAUGCAAGUCGAACGGAAAGGCCCUGCUUUUGUGGGGUGCUCGAGUGGCGAACGGGUGAGUAACAAGUGAGUAACCUGCCCUUGACUUUGGGAUAACUUCAGGAAACUGGGGCUAAUACCGGAUAGGAGCUCCUGCUGCAUGGUGGGGGUUGGAAAGUUUCGGCGGUUGGGGAUGGACUCGCGGCUUAUCAGCUUGUUGGUGGGGUAGUGGCUUACCAAGGCUUUGACGGGUAGCCGGCCUGAGAGGGUGACCGGCGACAUUGGGACUGCGAUACGGCCCAGACUCCUACGGGAGGCAGCAGUGGGGAAUAUUGCACAAUGGGCGGAAGCCUGAUGCAGCAACGCCGCGUGCGGGAUGACGGCCUUCGGGUUGUAAACCGCUUUCGCCUGUGACGAAGCGUGAGUGACGGUAAUGGGUAAAGAAGCACCGGCUAACUACGUG
rnacentral:rRNA from 1 species